rnacentral:rRNA from 1 species
CCCCCAGACUCCUACGGGAGGCAGCAGUGGGGGAUAUUGCACAAUGGGGGAAACCCUGAUGCAGCGACGCCGCGUGAGUGAAGAAGUAUUUCGGUAUGUAAAGCUCUAUCAGCAGGGAAGAAAAUGACAGUACCUGACCAAGAAGCCCCGGUUAACUACGUGCCAGCAGCCGCGGUAAUACGUAGGGGGCAAGCGUUAUCCGGAUUUACUGGGUGUAAAGGGGGCGCAGACGGCGAUGCAAGCCAGGAGUGAAAGCCCGGGGCCCAACCCCGGGACUGCUCUUGGAACUGCGUGGCUGGAGUGCAGGAGGGGCAGGCGGAAUUCCUGGUGUAGCGGUGAAAUGCGUAGAUAUCAGGAGGAACACCGGUGGCGAAGGCGGCCUGCUGGACUGCAACUGACGUUGAGGCCCGAAAGCGUGGGGAGCAAACAGGAUUAGAUACCCCGGUAAC